UUUAAAAAUAAUCUGGACCCUCUAAGGUACAUUAGGAAGGCUAGACCCUUUGGGGGUUGUUUCUUUAUAGCAAUAAAAGGGUUUAUGCAUCCCAAUGACACUAUGAGUUAGAUCAUUGGGAGUGAAAUAGAUAAUUAAAAUUGACAAGAGAAAUCUCAACAGUCUCAAAUAUGCUGAUCUUACUAUUCUGUUGUCUCGAACACAGAAAAGAAGUCAUUUGUUGAAGGGAAAAGAAGGGAAAAGCUAGUAUUAAAAACGGGGGGGGGGGAACCCUUACUUUAUGGCAACAAGCAAUGAAAGCCAAAGAAGUAGGAGGAGGAAAAGCUGAAAGUUUUAUCUUCCUAGGCUUAAAAACUCCCAGGGAUGGUGACUGAAGUUAUGAAAUAGGGAAAUGUCUGCUACUUGAGAGAAAGACUUUGACAGAUAUAGACAAAAUAAUAAAGUGCAUGUGUUACACUGUCAGGGCCAUAUUUUUUUUCUCUAGCUGUAACAUAUGGCUGUAAUUGAUGGACCAAAAGGAAGUCUGAACAAAGAAAAACAAUGCCUUUGAAUUGUGGAGCUGGAAAAAGGUGUUGAAAAGAUCUUGGACCUCAAGAAAAACAAAUAAUUCAGUACCAGAUGAAGUAAAAAUAGAUUCUUCAUUGUAAGCACUAAUAAUGAAACUAACGUUUGGGUAUUUUGGACACACAAUGUGAAAGCAAAAGUAACUGAAGAAAACCUUAUUGCUUGGAAAAAUGGAAGACAUUCAAAACAGAGACCAACAGAAGGUAGCUAGAUGCCACACUGAUGACAUAGGCAUGAGUUUCCAAGGACUCAAGGAGAUCAUUGACAGAUAAUACAGAUGUGGCAAGUUCAUACUAUUCAAAGCAGAGGGGCUAAUCUACAGGUAACAAAGUUUUAAAUUAAGCCACCUGUAAUUCACAGAGGGCCUGAUGCCGAGAAAUAUUGAUUGAGAGAGGAGUCACUGGAGAUAAUAUCCCUACAAAAUUUACUAAUCUUAGCUGCUGCAAGAUGAAGAUUAUAGUCAUUCUGAUUUCUGGAUCAGAUAAAUACCAUGAUAUUUACUGAUGCCUGGUGUGUGGUCCUAAAGGAAGGGAUGUUUGAACUUGCACUGAUUAGAUUUUCAAAAUCCAGAUGCCCAGCUCAGACACUUCCCAAAUGGAACGAGACAGCAGGCAUCCUAAAAUGCCAUUCCUCUGCAAGACCUUCUAAAACGGGCACCAUUUCACCUCUUGUCAUCUUGGUCUUAAAUGCUCAAGCUCUCCUACCUCAGCAGUUUAUUUCAGUCAACUGAGAAGAGCAAGCAAAAACCAAGAAUCUCCCAGGCAGACAGGAUUACCAUCUGAAAAAUCUGUACUCUUAGCUUGGGAAUGUUGCAGCUCUCGAUGUACCGAUUGUUUCGUGCAUGCCUGUCAAUGCAAUUUCAUAAAUACCUUCUUAAACAUGACUUCAGGCAAACGGGUGUUUGGGUGUAGACUAAUGAAGGAAGAACCCACAUGGAAUUCUAUCCAGGAGCUCAGUUAUUUCAGGUGCAAAGGGAGGGCUGGUGUGUUGACAAGAUUUUGCUGUGGUUCUCAAAUGACGCUAGCUCUCAGUAAUAUAUUCUUGUGAGGCAUUUUGUGCAGCAUCAAGAUAACUUAUUGGGUGGGCUCAUGUGAUGAGAGAUGUUUGGCGCUGCUCUUUGUUCUCCUGGAUGCCAAAGUUUCAAAAUCUGUAGGAAGAAAAAACAAAAACAACUUGUUAUGCUGUUCAGAAUUGCUUAAAAUGGGAGGCUAUAGAAAUCUUUAAAUAAAUAAAAAUAAAUUCAUUCUUCCUUCCUUCCUUCCUUCCUUCCUUCCUUCCUUCCUUCCUUCCUUCCUUCCUUUCUUUCUUUCCUUCUUUCUUUCCUUCUUCCUUCUUUCCUUCCUUCCUUUCUUUCCUUCUUUCCUUUCUUUCUUUCCUUCCUUCCUUCUGGAUGGGAACUUUUCACAGAGAGAAGUGUAGUUUGCCACAUGCAGAGAGAGGAAAAAAUAGGCUGCUUUCUAUUGUAAUUUCUUGUUAGUUAUACAGAAAGUUGUCUAACCUGGAGUUAUUUAUUAGCCUAUUGCAGUGGUAGUCAACCUGGUCCCUACCGCCCACUAUUGGGCGUUCCAGCUUUCAUGAUGGGCGGUAGGGGUUUUGUCCGAUACUGAAGCACCCUCCUUUUUUUAAAUUUGAGUUUUUUAAAAAAAUUCUUAGCAUUAUUUAAAAACAUUUUCAUUAGGUUUUCAUAAAAUUCCCUGUGACAAUUUAAAUUUCUGAAAAUAUACUAUUUGUAUUGCCCACGCAUAAGUUUACUUCACGUUAUGUAAGUAAAACUAAAUGGUGCUAUAGUGCGACCGCAAACAAAAGAGCCUCGUCCCAGAAUAGCUCAUGCAUCUCCUCUCACACCACCCAGCUGUAACAGACAAGCAGAGCUGGUAGCCGGCACCCCUCCCCAAACCCAAUCCACGAUGCGUGAGAGGCACAUUACUG